rnacentral:misc_RNA from 1 species
CUAAGAAGCACCUAGCUGCAAUAGGAUGGAUAUUUUAUUAUUAUCGGGGAAGGGACAAGAGAGAAUUGCGGUACCAUUCUCCUCAUGGGAAAACAUUCAACACUCUUCUAGGGGCAUGCAGAUGGUGUAUGCAGCAGUGGAAAGCUGAGGAACAGAUGCCUGAAUUAUUUUCCCAGUCAACUGUUCUAGAAUAUCAGGGGAAUUUGGCACCUCAGAGAACCUCAUGUGAGAAGUUAUCAGCGGCGACUUUUGCUGUCCUACCACUUGCUAAAGAACCUGCUCAACUUAAUAAAG